AUUAGAAAACCAAAACAUUGUAUUGUAGAGUACUACUAAUUAACAAGAAGCUCCUUCUCUAUUUUCUCUCUCACCAAAAGCCAAAAAUCUCUAAGCUAAACUCUUCUUGUUUAAGGGGGCUUUCUUUUCUUCUGAGAGAAGAAGAGGAAGAAGAAGAGGAAGAAGAAGAAAGUUCAUACUCAUAGAUAUAUAGAUAUAGAUAUAUAGAGAGAAAUAUAUAGUGUUUUACUAGUUUGUUUGGUAUUUGUGGAAAGUGGAAGCGAUGGGCUGUUUCCCUUGUUCUGGUGAUCCAUCUAUGAAGAAACGAGAAAAAAAGAGAAUCCAAGCCAAUAAUCAAUACAAAAGGGAUGAUCAGCCAAAACCCAAAUCAGAUACACCGAAGGCGAGUGAAAAUAAAGUUGUGCAGAAGGAAGAGCCUGAAAAUGCAAACCAAUCUACAACUAGGAUGGAUGGCAAUUGUAGUAGCGCUCCCCGAGAUGGUGAAACUGAUGGAAUUAAAAUUAAUGGAGUGAAUAGGGCACGGGCGUUUAAAUUUAAUGAACUGGUGGCUGCAACAGAAAAUUUUAAAGCAGCCUACUUCUUGGGUGAAGGUGGCUUUGGCAAAGUAUACAAAGGUUUUUUGGCAGAUACUGGUCAGGUUGUAGCCAUCAAACAACUCAACCCCGAUGGAUGUCAGGGAAACAGGGAAUUCAUUGUGGAAGUACUCACUCUAAGUAUGGCUGACCACCCCAAUCUUGUUAAAUUAAUUGGUUAUUGUGUCGAGGGACAUCAUAGGGUGUUGGUCUAUGAGUACAUGCCUCUUGGUUCAUUAGAAGACCAUUUACAUGACCCUUGGUCAGAUAAAAAGCGCCUUGAUUGGAACACCAGAAUGAUGAUAGCUGCAGGUGCUGCAAGGGGCCUGGAGUAUUUGCAUGACAAAAUGAAACCGCCUGUUAUUUAUCGUGACUUGAAGGGCUCUAAUAUUCUGCUUGGAGAGGGGUACCAUCCAAAGUUAUCUGAUUUUGGCUUGGCUAAAGUGGGUCCUCUUGGAGACAAGACCCAUGUCUCUACUAGAGUGAUGGGCACAUAUGGAUAUUGUGCACCAGAUUAUGCUAUGACUGGCCAACUGACAUUCAAAUCAGACAUUUACAGCUUUGGAGUUGUUCUUUUGGAGAUUAUUACGGGCAGGAAAGCAAUCGACAAUACUAGAUCUGCUGCAGAGCAAAACCUUGUUGCUUGGGCGCGACCAUUGUUCAAAGACCGGAAGAAAUUCCACCAGAUGGCAGAUCCCGCACUAGAAGGUCAUUAUCCUGUGAGGGGUUUAUACCAAGCUCUUGCAAUUGCUGCAAUGUGUGUCCAGGAGCAACCUAAUAUGCGGCCUCUCAUUGCUGAUAUUGUCACUGCUCUCAACUACCUUGCCUCCCAAAAGUAUGACCCCGAAGCCCAGCCUCCCCAAGGACCGCGUAAAAAUUCUUCUUCUAGAAAAUCAAGAUCAAUAGAUGAUCAAAAGAGCCCCAUCAAAAUUGAAGGUCAUAACAGAACGAGAUCUAUAGAUGGUCAAAAGAGCCCCAUUAACAUUGAAGGUCAUAACAGAACAAGAUCUAUAGAUGAUAAAAAGAGCCCCGUUAUCAUUGAAGGUCAUAACAGAACGAGAUCAAUAGACUAUCAGAAGAGCCCCAUUAACGUUGAAGGUCAUAACAGAAGGAAUUCAGAGGGACUAAAUUGAAGAACCAAAUCGGUGCCUCCUACUGAGAUCCAAAAUUUACAGAAGAAAAGCUCAAGAACCAAUUUUCCCUCUUUGGGUCUCAGUGAAAAUGGCUCCACGGAUUUCUGUUGUUUUUCACUUUGUUGCUCCUUUCUUGUUAAUCUACCUUUUUGUUUACUACCAUAUUUUUGUGAGAAUGGUGACGAGACAGAGAAUUACUAAGGACGACUUUGAUCUCCAUCUGAAUAGGCCCCAACUUGAUCUUUCGGUUCCGAGAUCAUCACCGGAGAAAACAGAGUACAAAACUUCACUGAGAAAAUUCAACUUUCGGGUACCAGCUCGUUCACCAUCAGUUUCAGAAACAUCGCCGCUGUAUCAACAGGCAGACGGGACUACAUUUGUACCAGGGAGAAAAUUGAAAUUGAAGGUCAACAAUGGCGGAACUGAUAUGCAGCCGGAAUCACUGAAUCACAGUCCAGUUCAUCGCGGCUUUCUGGCUAAUCCACCAUCAGUUUCAGCAACACCGUCGCCGUAUCAACAGGCGAAAGGCACUACAUUUGUACCAGGGAGAAAAUUGAAAUUGAAGGUCAACAGUGGCGGAACUGAUAUGCAGCCAGAAUCACUGGACCACAGUCCAGUUCAUCACGGCUUUUUGGCUAAUCCACCAUCAGUUUCAGCAACACCCUCGCCGCAUCAACAGGCGAAAGGCACUUCGUUUGUACCCGGGAGAAAAUUGAACUUGAAGGUCAAAAAUGGCAGAAGUGAUAUGCCGGAUCUCUGAAUCACAGUCCUGUUCAAGAAAUGAUGAAUACUCAAAUUGAUUCACUCAUGGUAUUCCCCUGUUUCUGAAUGAUUCCCCUGUUUCUUGCAGCUAUUAACAAUUUUCACUGCAAGUUCAAGAAAUGAUGAAUACUCACUCAAAUUGAUACUGAGAAAAACAUUCAUCCAUACUGAUCACCUGUUAUUCUUUUUCGUAGUGAUUUCAUAUUCGAUUCUUUGUAAAACAGAUUUGUCGAAUUCAUAUCAGAUUCUCUGUAAACUGAAAAACAGAGUCUUGUUAUUCAUUCAAAUGAAAUGAAAUGAAAUAUGAGUAUUCAUUCAUU